CCUACGGGAGGCAGCAGUGGGGGAUAUUGCACAAUGGGGGGAACCCUGAUGCAGCGACGCCGCGUGGGUGAAGAAGCGCCUCGGCGCGUAAAGCCCUGUCAGCAGGGAAGAAAAUGACGGUACCUGAAGAAGAAGCCCCGGCUAACUACGUGCCAGCAGCCGCGGUAAUACGUAGGGGGCAAGCGUUAUCCGGAUUUACGGGGGGGAAAGGGGGCUGCGACGGCGUUGCAAGCCAGGAGUGAAGACCCGGGGCCCAACCCCGGGACUGCUCUUGGAACUGCGUGGCUGGAGUGCAGGAGGGGCAGGCGGAAUUCCUGGUGUAGCGGUGAAAUGCGUAGAUAUCAGGAGGAACACCGGUGGCGAAGGCGGCCUGCUGGACUGCAACUGACGUUGAGGCACGAAAGCGUGGGGAGCAAACAGGAUUAGAUACCCGGGUAGUC
rnacentral:rRNA from 1 species